UACAGAGGGAUGCUACCGGGCGACCGGAUGCGGAUCUCGAAAGCCUGUCCCAGUUCGGACUGUAGUCUGCAACCCGACUACACGAAGCUGGAAUCGCUAGUAAUCGCGAAUCAGCAUGUCGCGGUGAAUACGUUCCCGGGUCUUGUACACACCGCCCGUCACACCAUGGGAGUCGAUAACGCCCGAAGUCGGUGACCCAACCGCAAGGAGGGAGCCGCCGAAGGCGGGAUUGGUAACUGGGGUGAAGUCGUAACAAGGUACC
rnacentral:rRNA from 1 species